GCCUAUAUGUUACCUCUUGAGAACCUCUGUAGUAGAAAUAUCAUCUAAGGUAGCUUAGUGAAUGGUUUCCGAGGAAUAUGCACUGCAGCUGCACCUUCGGGUGCCCGUGCCACCUUGAAGUCAUGCUCAAGUAGGGUGCAAAGUAGUUUCUAGCCUUUUAAAAGACAAAAAUCUUAAACCUUAUACGUCAACAUGUCAUUAGAACAAAAGCCUUUUCCUUUUUGAUCUCAGUUUGCAAAUAGAUAAGCUUAAUAUCUUGCUUGGCAAAAUGUUUACACGUCAGACUUGUUAAAUGUGGUAAUAUAGCAAUAAUAUUUCUGCCCAGUUUUUUCUUCAGUUUUAAGUGGAAAUAUCUACCUUUGAUGUCAGUGAAAUUUUUACUUUAUUGUGAUAUUGAGAAUGUUAAGUGUCAGUGAAUUUGAUGGAUAGCUUAGAAUUGAAUCUUUGUAUUCAAUAUUUUAGUGCUGUAUAUUUUCAUUUAAGUUAUGGUCUUUAAAUCUUGGAGAAAAUACUGUUUUGUUCUUCUUGGUGAAAUUUUGUAGUGGGUUUUCUGUUGCCAUUUUAAAAUAUUCAGAUGAAAUGUGAACUCUAUUAAAAAAGAAAUCUUUUAAAGCAUAACUUCACCUUCAUGGCUCUAUAAAAAUAAUCAAGUGAUUUAGGUUAAAAGCAUUGUAUUUUAAACAGUUGGUCACUAAACUCCAAAUGAAAGCUGCUUCUGUGAGAUUUUCAUUGAUGUUACUUGGUUUGUUUAUUUUUCCCCUAGACAAAAGAGUAAGCAAGCAGUAUGUGGUGGGAAAACUGAAACACUGCAUACUGUUUCUUUAAGAAACCAGCUUAUCCGGGGGGUUUUAGUGUGUCUGACCUAACCUGCUAGCAAGGAAAAGUUCUUUAAAAUAAUGGAUAUUAGCCGUGUCCAAUCACAGUUACCAGCUCCACUACCAGGGAGGAGAUUUUACUCCUCGGCCACUAGAAUUGGAGAAGGUGGAGCCUGGUAUUCAGGCUUGGUUGCUUUGGAGUACAGCUUCAAGUGAAGUUAAUCUGAGGUGAAGCAAACAGAAAAUUGUGGAGGUUUUGUUGUUGCCACAGCUUUCCUACUUUACGUCAGCGGUGGUACUGAAGCUGGAGUGAGGCCCGUGAGGACUGGCUUUGCCAUUUAGAGGAUAUGGCAGCCACUUUCCGUGAAUCACACGAGCUACAUGGCUGUGUCCAAGACUUUGAGAAGUGAAUGAAUCUGAAGUCUGCUGCAGUAAAACACUGAAGGCUUUAAAAUGUUUUCUUGCAUAAAACUCAAACUUUAAGUAGCUGCUUAUGAGGAUAGGGAAGGCAGGAAGCUAAUGUCUGUCUCAAGAUACAGGACAGCUGUUUGCUCAUCAACCUCAACUGUGUGUGCAGCAGAGGAACAUGGCUCAAGAAACUAAUCACAGCCAAGUGCCUAUGCUUUGUUCCACUGGCUGCGGAUUUUAUGGAAACCCUCGUACAAAUGGCAUGUGUUCAGUGUGCUAUAAAGAACAUCUUCAAAGACAGAAUAGUAGUAAUGGUAGAAUAAGCCCACCUGCAACCUCUGUCAGUAGUCUGUCCGAGCCUCUGCCGGCUCAGUGCACAGAUGGCAGUGUCCCAGAAGCCCGGUCAGCGCCAGACGCCACGCCUUCAUCUACGCAGCCAAGCCCUGUAUCAAAUCAGUCACUUUUAUCAGAAUCUGUAGCAUCUUCCCAAGUGGACAGUACAUCUGUGGACAAAGCAGUACCUGAAACAGAAGAUCUGCAAGCUUCAGUAUCAGACACGGCACAGCAGCCAUCUGAAGAGCAAAGCAAGUCUCUUGAAAAACCAAAACAAAAAAAGAAUCGCUGUUUCAUGUGCAGGAAGAAAGUGGGACUUACUGGGUUUGAAUGCCGGUGUGGAAAUGUUUACUGUGGUGUACACCGUUACUCAGACGUACACAAUUGCUCUUACAAUUACAAAGCUGAUGCUGCUGAGAAAAUCAGAAAAGAAAAUCCAGUAGUUGUUGGUGAAAAGAUCCAGAAGAUUUGAACUCCUGCUGGAAUACAAAAUCCUUUGACCAUCUGCAAACUAAAAAUUGACUUGACUUUUUUUUCCUAGUCAUUGGGAAUGUAGAGCAAUGUAUCUUGCAUAGACCUUUUAAUCAUGCAUGUCAUCAGAAGAAUAGAUUUUUGUUUUUGUUUUGAAAAUGACUCUGAACAUUUAUUUCCAUUGCAGUUUCUGUGGCUGAAAAGACUUAAACUUUACAAGUAUUAUCCUUUUGAGAUCAUUUUAAUUUUAGUUGAGUGCAGAGGGCUUUUAUAACAAACAUGGAGAAAUUUUGGAGGGCUGUGAUUUUUCCAGUAUUAAACAUGCAUGCGUUAAUCUUGCAGUUUAUUUUCUCAUUGUGUGUAUAUAUAGCUUUUCUCUGCAGCACGAUUUCUCUUUUGAUAAUGCCCCGAAGGGCACAACUAGUUAUCAGUAACUGAAUGUAUCUUAGUCAUUACGGCUGCUUCUGUUUUUUCAUUAACAAAGGUUAUUCAUAUGUUAGCAUAUAGUUUCUUUGCACCCACUAUUUAUGUCAGAAUCAUUUGUCACAGGAGAAUGUGUGCUGAUGAGAUUCUAAGUUUGUGUGUUUUAAUUUUUUUUUUUUUUUUUUUGAGCAAGGGGAGAAAAAGCUGCAUGCAUUUCAUUGCUGACUGCCGGUUUCUUCCAGAUUACGCUCAUGAGUCUGUGUGUAUAAGAUAUGAAGAAUGAUCUGAAGUAAUUGUGCUGUAUUUAUGUUUAUCCACCAGUCUUUGAUUAAAUAAAAAGGAAAAACCAGAA